rnacentral:lncRNA from 1 species
UGUAAGGAUGCAGUGGUUGGUGAGCUGCCUUCUGUCCAAAUUCGGUAACUUUUUAGCCGGUUAACUUCAUCGAGUGUGGCGCACUUUCGCACCUAGACUUGAAAUCGGCGACUUAAGGCCGGUAGUAGUUUUCAGCAAUGAACUUGUUCUGCAAGGUUCGACUUUCAGAUCAAUAAUCUUUUUAGCUUUUUUCACAUUCUUUAAUAAACUUAUAGAAGUGUGUGGAAAGUGAACGAAGUUCAUAUGAUGUAGCGAUUCAAUACAUCAGAGUUUUGCAAGUAUUUCUACACUGCGAUUGUCAAGCAAGAGUAGUUUCCUAUUGAGCAGGUGUUACUUAGUCUCAGCGAGUUUAGCAUACAUGAGAGUUUGGUCGAUGACCCUUAGGUGGAAAAAGUUGAAAAAGUUCAAAAUUUUCGCUGGACACAUAGUAGGCGGCCAUAUGAAAGGAGGCUUACCCUCACACAAGACUUUCCUCCUAUCCUUUUUCCUUAAUGUUUCUGUAAUAGAAUGGAUAGUGGUCUGAGCAUGGAGAUCAGUACCAUUUACCAUUACUUAUU